AACGAACGCUGGCGGCAGGCUUAACACAUGCAAGUCGAACGGGUGCGGCAAUGCAUCAGUGGCAGACGGGUGAGUAACACGUGGGAACCUUCCUAGGGGUACAGAACAACUCAGGGAAACUUGAGCUAAUACCGUAUACGUCCGUGAGGAGAAAGAUUUAUCGCCCUUAGACGGGCCCGCGUCGGAUUAGCUAGUUGGUGGGGUAACGGCCUACCAAGGCGACGAUCCGUAGCUGAUCUUAGAGGAUGAUCAGCCACACUGGGACUGAGACACGGCCCAGACUCCUACGGGAGGCAGCAGUGGGGAAUCUUGGACAAUGGGCGCAAGCCUGAUCCAGCCAUGCCGCGUGAGUGAAGAAGGUCUUCGGAUUGUAAAGCUCUUUUGCCAGGGACGAUAAUGACGGUACCUGGAGAAUAAGCCCCGGCAAACUUCGUGCCAGCCGCCGCCGUAA
rnacentral:rRNA from 1 species